ACACGGAGGGCGCAAGCGUUGCUCGGAAUCACUGGGCGUAAAGCGGGUGUAGGCGGUCUAGCAAGUCAGAUGUGAAAGCCCACGGCUCAACCGUGGAAGUGCAUCUGAAACUGCUAGACUUGAGUGCUGGAGAGGGAAGUGGAAUUCCUGGUGUAGGGGUGAAAUCCGUAGAUAUCAGGAGGAACACCGGUGGCGAAGGCGACUUCCUGGACGGCCACUGACGCUGAGACCCGAAAGCGUGGGGAGCAAACAGGAUUAGAAACCCUAGUAGUCC
rnacentral:rRNA from 1 species